GUACACUGCAACAAAAUGCCAUGUUUUCUUCAAUGGGCGAGCGGAUUGCUUGUGAUUACCUGUUAAUGUGAAAAAGAUUCAUGCCAAAGUUUGUCCUGUUUUCUCUGCUGGACGAGCAUAUGCUAGAGGAUAACUACACAAAGGGAAUACAACACUACAUGGAAUCCGCUCCUAUUUAAUACAUCAACCUACUUCAGGAUUUAAAAUAUUCCUUUACUUUUCUUCUUUUUUUCUUUCUGUUGAAGGUACUACCCUUUUUAUAGACUAACAAAAAUUAUUAUCAAGAAAACUUAUUCGCAUAAUAAAGAAAACUACUAUAUGAAAACUUAAAAUCGACUCAAUACCGUAUAUUAUUGAAAACCGAAUUUUUUGGUGUGGGGAAAAAUAUCAGUGAGAACAAUAUGAUAAAUAUUAUAUUUUUAUAAUAAACACGAGGCUGUUCGAUUUAUGUGAACAUGAGUCCAUUAAACUACAAAUAAAGGCGAAGGAAGGAUUUAGUUCAAUUUUUCUCAUUUGAAGUGUUGUUCAUCUUAUCGUUUGUGAUCUAUUUAGUGCCAAAGUUUGGUAAAUUUAUCCAGUGAUGCUUACGUUUUGUUUCCCAGCCUAUUGAACAGGUUAAUUUGCUUUAAAAAUAGUGAGGAACAAUGUUCCUUCGAUUUCCCAACCCAAACUCUCCCUCCAUCUAUUUCCAAAGGACGAGGAAUUGACAAAUACAUGUAUUCGAGUUAUACCAAGAGUGGAUUUUGCUCCCUCAAGGCAUUCUCGUGUCUGUAGUACACAUUUUCCACGAGUUAUGCUUCCGUAAGGAUCGAAAGGACUCCAACUCUACAAGAACUAAAAAAUCAACAUCUUUUAAAAUUCCAAGGCUCAAAGUGGAUGCAGUGCCAAUAAUAUCUUCUUCUCAGAGAUCAACCUCAUUAGCCACUUUUCAAAAAAGAGCUGAGAAAGAAAGCAAAAUGAUAAAUAAAAGGAUGUCUGAGGAGGAUAUAAUCCAAAAUUUCAGAUAAAUCAAAAAAUAUCUCCAUAAUUUAUGCUUGCCUCAGAAUAUUCACGAGUCGUUCAACGAGAAUUGUGCCAUAUUUUUUGCGAUUUCCACCGUCGGCGUGAUAAUUAAAGUCCUCCACAGUCUUCCUAUUUCAAGAAACUAUACAAAGAUUCUCUGAUGUCAGCAAUAUCCUUGCUUUCCUGAAGAACAAAUCUUGCAUAUCUCACCAGUCAAACAUAUAAAUGACAAAGGAACUAUUGGAGUCUAUCACUAAAGAGGAAGGAUCGGAGUAUAACGACCACAUAAGCGUCAUUAUUGAACGAUUCCAGCUACAAUUAAGUCCACUAAAGGGACGCUGAUAUUUGUCACAACUUCUAGGAAUAGCUUCUUUGUAGCAAAACAAAAGCCCUGCGCUCAACAAUCAACUCUGUCAGUCAGGAGUGAUAAUUUUGUGUUUUAUCAAAAUAUUUAAAGACACUUUCUAGUGCCUUCAAUAUUGAUAGUGGAAUUAACGUUUCGACUUGUGAAUACAUCCAAAGAAGAAUAACAAAUUUGCUACAUAAAGAUAAGAUCGUGUCAAUUAUAAUAGACGAAGUUUAUUCUACUGAAAGGGUAGAAUUCGUUGCAGGGAAAAUUUAUGGUUGUCAAAAUAGUUGAUCAUUUUCAAAAACAUUAUUAUACUUAAUUUUCAAGAGUCUUGGUCGAUAAUAUGAUAUGGUCGCCAUGAUCCCUAUCACCAAAAUCAGCUUCACAAUUAUUAUGGACUAUUUCAUGGAAGUUUUAAAACUUAUUAGAGAAAUAGGAUUUGAAACAGUUGCUGUCAUUGUGGACUCUCAUCCAGCAAACAUAAAAUUUUGCUGUUAGGAGCAUGGAAAAGACACUUCAUCUUCAUUCAUCUGGAAUCCAUACUCUGGAGCUGAACAAAAAAUAUUUCUGAUGUUCAAUCCAGUUCACAAUUUCAAAAAAUUGUACAAAACAGGAGGAAGAAUAUCAGCCCUUUAGAGAAACUGCAAAAGUCUUCAAGAUAUUAAAAGAGGUUCUGGGAUUGUGUCAAUAUUGUUUGACUUCUUUUCAUGUAUCCAAAAAUGAUUCUUCUUUAAAGCCCAUUUUCAGUAAAGGACAGAGAAUAAAUAGGCUUUUAAUUUCAUUUGCUGAAUAGCUUAAGAAAUGAUAAAUCAAUUGUAAGGCUACUGGUUUAAAGGGAUUGAGCUCGAAAACCUUUUAUGCAGCUCAUAAGACAUCAUUGAGCCUGGCUGAAUAACUUUUGAAUGCAGGAAAAGCUGAAUUUCUUCUACUUCAAAAAUUCAAUAUUGAUCCUAUACAAAAUUGAUUUGGGUGGUAUCGGUAACUUGGAGGGGGCAAUUAACGUCUUAGCUGCCAACAGUUCCAGGAAACUGAAAAAAAAGAUUGAUCUCUCUCUGCUUCUUCGGAUGGUAAUUAUAACUAUAUCCAAGAUGAAAGAAAUUUUCUCGUUGGAAAGUAAUUAAAAAUUGAGGAAAGAGAUGACGAUGAUAAAAAAUUAAUAACUUCAAUUCAGUCAGAUUGUUUUUUGGCCUUAAAUCUACCAUAAAGCAGUUUUGGUAUCGCUUAUUAUCUCAGUGGAUAUGCAACUCGUGCCAUAUAGAAGAAAAAAUAUCUCCUCUUUCAACAAUUUUUAUCUUCUCCGGGAACAUCAAGUUUGAAAUAUCCGAUUCCUAUGCAGAAGAUCACUUUUUAAAUAAAAUCGAUGGAUGUGGCCUUAACAAUCCAAUUGAUGUUAUAUAUUUAUUAUGUGCACAUAUUUAUCAAUUACUCGAUUACAACUUUAAUAAUGAAGAAAUAUUUAGUUCUUUAAUUGGUAUGAAUCAUCCGAGAUGAGUUUUGGUGAGGACUGAUAAAGAACUAUUUCUUUCUUCUGAAUUGACUUGGUUUUGUGAUUUAUGUGACCAAUGACAUUCUUUGAGUCCAAAUUUUAUUAAUAUAUUGACCAUUUUUUUCAAUAUGUUUUCCAAAAACUUUGCCUCUUAUUCCAAUAGUAAAAUUUAUUGAAACAGAAAUAAUUUAUCUAAAAUAUGCAGUACUUCAAAAAAGAUUAAAUAACUUAAUUCUAACUAAUGAUUUAAUUAUAGAUAUUAAAUAAAUUAUUUUGAAAAUU
rnacentral:lncRNA from 1 species